UACAGAGGUCUCGAGCGUUGUUCGGAUUUACUGGGCGUAAAGGGAGCGUAGGCGGUUCAGUAUGUCGAAUGUGAAAUCCCACGACUCAACCGUGGAAUGGCAUUCGAAACUGCUGGGCUAGAGUACUGGAGAGGAGAGCGGAAUUCUUGGUGUAGCGGUGAAAUGCGUAGAUAUCAAGAGGAACACCGGUGGCGAAGGCGGCUCUCUGGACAGAUACUGACGCUGAGGCUCUAAAGUUAGGGGAGCAAACAGGAUUAGAUA
rnacentral:rRNA from 1 species